rnacentral:rRNA from 1 species
UACAGAGACUGCAAGCGUUAUUCGGAUUCACUGGGCGUAAAGGGUGCGCAGGCGGCCAUGUGUGUCAGGUGUGAAAGCCCGGGGCUAACCGGGGAGGGUCGUCGGGGGACCGCACGCUUGAGGGCGGUAGGGGCUGGUGGAAUGCCUGGUGUAGUGGUGAAAUGCGUAGAGAUCAGGCGGAACACCCGUAGCGAAGGCGGCCAGCUGGGCCGUCCCUGACACUGAGGCGCGAAGGCGUGGGGAGCGAACGGGG